AGAGUUUGAUCCUGGCUCAGGAUGAACGCUAGCGGGAGGCCUAACACAUGCAAGUCGAACGGGAUUGGUAGCAAUACCAUGAGAGUGGCGCACGGGUGAGUAACGCGUAUGCAACCUACCUGUAACAGAGGGAUAGCCCAUAAAAUGUGGAUUAAUAUCUCAUAGUUCUUUUGUUCCGCAUGGGACGAAAGAUAAAGCUCCGGCGGUUACAGAUGGGCAUGCGUGACAUUAGCUAGUUGGUAAGGUAACGGCUUACCAAGGCUACGAUGUCUAGGGGUUCUGAGAGGAUGAUCCCCCACACUGGUACUGAGACACGGACCAGACUCCUACGGGAGGCAGCAGUGAGGAAUAUUGGUCAAUGGGCGCAAGCCUGAACCAGCCAUCCCGCGUGCAGGAUGACGGCCCUAUGGGUUGUAAACUGCUUUUAUACACCAAGAAAAACAUCCACGUGUGGGUGCCCGACGGUAGUGUAUGAAUAAGCAUCGGCUAACUCCGUGCCAGCAGCCGCGGUAAUACGGAGGAUGCAAGCGUUAUCCGGAUUCAUUGGGUUUAAAGGGUGCGUAGGCGGCUUUUUAAGUCAGUGGUGAAAUCCUGCCGCUUAACGGUAGAAUUGCCAUUGAUACUGUUUUUCUUGAGUAUGGUUGAGGUAGGUGGAAUGUGUGGUGUAGCGGUGAAAUGCUUAGAUAUCACACAGAAUAUCAAUUGCGAAGGCAGCUCACAAAGCCAUUAUUGACGCUGAGGCACGAAAGUGUGGGGAUCAAACAGGAUUAGAUACCCUGGUAGUCCACACCGUAAACGAUGAUAACUCGCUGUCGGCGAUAAACAGUCGGUAGCCAAGCGAAAGCGAUAAGUUAUCCACCUGGGGAGUACGACCGCAAGGUUGAAACUCAAAGGAAUUGACGGGGGCCCGCACAAGCGGAGGAACAUGUGGUUUAAUUCGAUGAUACGCGAGGAACCUUACCUGGGCUUAAAUGUAGGCUGCAUUCGGCUGAAAGGCUGAUUCCCUUCGGGGCUGCUUACAAGGUGCUGCAUGGUUGUCGUCAGCUCGUGCCGUGAGGUGUCGGGUUAAGUCCCAUAACGAGCGCAACCCUUAUCGUUAGUUGCCAGCGGGUUAAGCCGGGGACUCUAGCGAGACUGCCACCGUAAGGUGAGAGGAAGGUGGGGAUGACGUCAAAUCAGCACGGCCCUUAUGUCCAGGGCUACACACGUGUUACAAUGGCCGAUACAAAGGGCAGCUACCGGGCGACCGGAUGCUAAUCUCUAAAGUCGGUCCCAGUUCGGAUUGGAGUCUGCAACCCGACUCCAUGAAGUUGGAUUCGCUAGUAAUCGCGCAUCAGCCAUGGCGCGGUGAAUACGUUCCCGGGCCUUGUACACACCGCCCGUCAAACCAUGGGAGCUGGGGGUGCCUGAAGUCUGCCACCGCAAGGAGCGGCCUAGGGUAAAACCAGUGACUGGGGUUAAGUCGUAACAAGGUAACC
rnacentral:rRNA from 1 species